rnacentral:rRNA from 1 species
UNUGACUUGAGUGCAGAAGGGGAGAGUGGAAUUCCAUGUGUAGCGGUGAAAUGCGUAGAUAUAUGGAGGAACACCAGUGGCGAAAGCGGCUCUCUGGUCUGUCACUGACGCUGAGGCUCGAAAGCGUGGGUAGCGAACAGGAUUAGAUACCCUGGUAGUCCACGCCGUAAACGAUGAGUGCUAGGUGUUAGGCCCUUUCCGGGGCUUAGUGCCGGAGCUAACGCAAUAAGCACUCCGCCUGGGGAGUACGACCGCAAGGUUGAAACUCAAAGGAAUUGACGGGGGCCCGCACAAGCGGUGGAGCAUGUGGUUUAAUUCGAAGCAACGCGAAGAACCUUACCAGGUCUUGACAUCCCGAUGCUAUUCUUAGAGAUAGGAAGUUACUUCGGUACAUCGGAGACAGGUGGUGCAUGGUUGUCGUCAGCUCGUGUCGUGAGAUGUUGGGUUNNNNNNNNNNACGAGCGCAACCCUUAUUGUUAGUUGCCAUCAUUAAGUUGGGCACUCUAGCGAGACUGCCGGUAAUAAACCGGAGGAAGGUGGGGAUGACGUCAAAUCAUCAUGCCCCUUAUGACCUGGGCUACACACGUGCUACAAUGGUCGGUACAACGAGUUGCGAGCCGGUGACGGCAAGCUAAUCUCUGAAAGCCGAUCUCAGUUCGGAUUGGAGGCUGCAACUC